rnacentral:rRNA from 1 species
UACGUAGGCAGCAAGCGUUGUUCGGAGUUACUGGGCGUAAAGGGUGUGUAGGCGGACUCUUAAGUCGGGGGUGAAAUCCUGGAGCUCAACUCCAGAACUGCCUUUAAAACUGCAUCGCUUGAAUCCGGGAGAGGUGAGUGGAAUUCCGAGUGUAGAGGUGAAAUUCGUAGAUAUUCGGAAGAACACCAGUGGCGAAGGCGGCUCACUGGACCGGUAUUGACGCUGAGGUGCGAAAGCGUGGGGAGCAAACAGG